GUAGUCGGAUUCACAUUAAUCCACAUGUGUUGAGGUGGAUUGGAAUAGAAUUUGAACUAAAUUCCACUACAAUCCACUCCAACCCAUGUGGAUUGAGGUGAAUCCGACA
rfam:Sorghum bicolor cultivar BTx623 chromosome 5, whole genome shotgun sequence.